GAAAUAGAUUUAUCUUAAGAGUUAAAAUUUAUUUGUGUUUAAUGGAUAAAAUGUAUUAUAAAGUUAUUAAGGAUUAGUAAUUCUUAUGAAAAUUUGUAUAUAGUUUAAUAAAGUACUGUAUAGGAAUCUAUUUAAUAUGCCUAGAGAAGUAUAAAUUAAUUUUAGUACCUUUUGCAUUAUGGUUUAACGAGAGGGAACAUUUUUUAAUGUUAUCUAGAAAAAAGAAGAGUUAUAUUUAAGCGAAGAAAUAAUGUGGCAUAAUUAUUUCGAGACUUAAUUAUGGUAGUGAAACGCUUUCGGGUUUUUUGAUAGCUAGUUGGAGGAGAAAAACAUUUUAGUGUGGUUUAUAAAAAAUAAUUUAAUAAGCUUGUUUUAUUUAAUUUUUUUUGUAGUAUUUUGUUUUUUAGGUUGAGCUAAAAAAUUUGAUGAAAAUCGAUUGGUAAAAUAGAGUGAAUGUAGGAUUAGUAGUUUUCAGCAUGUUUAUAGUUUUAUAACAGAUAAUUAUAUUAAGAUUAUAGGGUGAAAGAUUUUCUGUUAUAUUCUCUUUUGGUUUGGUAUUAUUUUAAAAUUAGUGUUUAUGUUAAAAUUAGUAUUUAUUUAUCUUUUAGCUUAUUGGUGUUGAACUUAAGGCUACAAAAAGAUUUUUAAUAUAAACGAAAUAAAGGAACUCGGCAAAUAUGGAUUUCGCCUGUUUAACAAAAACAUCGCUCUUUGUGUUUUAUAAAUAAGGAGUCGUACCUGCCCGGUGAAAAAUUUUAACGGCCGCAGUACCCUGACUGUGCAAAGGUAGCAUAAUCACUUGCCUUUUAAUUGGAGGCUGGAAUGAAUGGUUUGACGGAAUCCUGCUGUCUCUAUUUCGUUAGACAGAAAUUAAUUUUCAGGUGAAGAAGCCUAAAUUUAAUCGAAAGACGAAAAGACCCUGUCGAACUUUAUGAAGAGUAUGGAAUCGUUAUUUGUAGUAUAAAUGUUUUUUGUAAUUUUCUUUUUGUUGGGGUGACAGAAGAACAAAUGAAGCUUCUUUUAGUUUUGUAAAUUGAUGAAUUAAAAAGAUCCAUAAAUAAAUUUAUGAUAAAAAGAUUAGUUACCGCAGGGAUAACAGCGUUAUUUCUCUGGAGAGUUCAAAUUGAAGGAGAAGAUUGCGACCUCGAUGUUGGAUUGAAAUUCCUAAUAGGCGCAGAAGCUUGUUGGAGGAGGUCUGUUCGACCUUUAAAUUUUCACAUGAUCUGAGUUCAAACCGGUGUGAGCCAGGUUGGUUUCUAUCUUCGAUAUAAUUUUGUUAGUUUUAGUACGAAAGGAUUGAAUUGACAAAAAUUUUUUGUAAGU
rnacentral:rRNA from 1 species